CUAUGGUUUAUUGGAUCUUACCCGUUAUAUGGAUAACUGUAAUAACUCUAGAGCUAAUACAUGCCUCGAUGCCCUGACCCCGGUUGGGUUGCACUUUUGUGUAGCCUGGCCAGGGAAUGGGUGCACUUAUUAGACUAGAAGCCAACCAUGCAGUCCACCCUCGGGUGCCUGUGUGCUGUCCUUCUGGUGACUCUGGAUAAUUGUUACAGAUCGCAGUCGGCCUUGUGUCGGCGACGGGUCCUUCAAAUGUCUGCCCUAUCAACUUUCGAUGGUAGGUGACCUGCCUACCAUGGUGAUAACGGGUAACGGGGAAUCAGGGUUCGAUUCCGGAGAGGGAGCCUGAGAAACGGCUACCACUUCCAAGGAAGGCAGCAGGCGCGCAAAUUACCCACUCCCAGUACGGGGAGGUGGUGACGAAAAAUACCGAUGCGGGACUCGUCAACGAGGCUCCGUAAUCGGAAUGAGUUGACUUUAAAUCCUUUAACGAGGACCCAUUGGAGGGCAAGUCUGGUGCCAGCAGCCGCGGUAACUCCAGCUCCAAUAGCGUAUAUUAAAGUUGCUGCAGUUAAAAAGCUCGUAGUUGGAUCUCGGUUGCACUGUCGCCUGUUAGUCCUUUGAAGGCAGUGCUAACGUUUGCCAGUGUUUCGUGUGUGCAACUAGUUGGCCGUUGUAGGCGCACACGCGCAGGCGUCGACUAUGCAUAUUUCUGCUGGUUGGCUGUCUGUUAGCGUUGUUGUCGUUUUGCACGUGUCGACGGUUGCCAUACUGCUGGUAGGCGGCUCUUUCAAGCUAGCAGUGGUGAUGGUGUCGCCUUUCAGCCAUGUCUGUGGUGCAAUACCCACAGGUGUAGGCGAGUGUCAGGCGGUGCAUGGCCUUCAGUGUUGUGUCCGUCGGCUCGCUUGCAUGCCUUUGGAUGCCCUUCACCGGGUGUUCACAGGCGGAUGGCACGUUUACUUUGAACAAAUUUGAGUGCUCAAACCAGGCCGAUGUUGCCUGAAAAGUUUUGCAUGGAAUAAUGGAAUAGGACUUCGGUUCUAUUUCGUUGGUUUUCGGAUCCGAAGUAAUGAUCAACAGAGACAGGCGGGGACGUUUGUAUGGCUGCGCUAGAGGUGAAAUUCAUGGACCGUAGCCAGACAAACUAAAGCGAAAGCAUUCGUCAAGCAUGUUUUCAUUGACCAUGAGCGAAAGUCAGAGGCUCGAAGACGAUCAGAUACCGUCCUAGUUCUGACCAUAAACGAUGCCAACUGACGAUCCGUGAUGGUAGUCCUUUACAUCUUCCUCACGGGCAGUCUCCGGGAAACCUUUAAGUCUUUGGGUUCCGGGGGAAGUAUGGUUGCAAAGCUGAAACUUAAAGGAAUUGACGGAAGGGCACCACCAGGAGUGGAGCCUGCGGCUUAAUUUGACUCAACACGGGAAAACUCACCCGGCCCGGACACUAUGAGGAUUGACAGAUUGAUAGCUCUUUCUUGAUUUGGUGGUUGGUGGUGCAUGGCCGUUCUUAGUUGGUGGAGCGAUUUGUCUGGUUAAUUCCGGUAACGAACGAGACUCUAGCCUGCUAAUUAGUACAAUCGUCAACUGUAUCUGUGUCGGCGGCGUUCGACGAGGCUUUUCUCGACAAAACCCUGGGUUCGGUUGSUCACAUGCAUGGUGUGUUGCUGUGCUUAGCUGUUCACGCUAUGUGCCUUGGUGGUGUCGGGCGUUCCGCGUCUGCCCGCUUGGGUGCUGGUUGUGGCUCUUUGUGCAGUGCAUGCCGUUACGUGUGUGUGUGGUUAGCCGGCACUUGGUUCAGAUGGCUGGUUCAGUGUUAGCCACCGGGUACGGCGCGAUUUGUCUACUUCUUAGAGGGACAAGCGGAUUCAAGCCGCACGAAAUUGAGCAAUAACAGGUCUGUGAUGCCCUUAGAUGUCCGGGGCCGCACGCGCGCUACAAUGACGGUGCCAACGAGUCUGACCUUCUGGCCCGAAAGGGUUGGGCAAACUGGUCAAUCACCGUCAUGACAGGGAUCGGGGCUUGGAAUUGUUCCCCGUGAACGAGGAAUUCCUAGUAAGUGCAAGUCAUAAGCUUGCGCUGAUUACGUCCCUGCCCUUUGUACACACCGCCCGUCGCUACUACCGAUUGAAUGGUUUAGUAAGGUCCUUGGAUUGGUGCCAUUGUGGUGGUUGUCGAAAGACAUUCACCCGACAGGCGCUAAGAAGACGACCAAACUUGAUCAUUUAGA
rnacentral:rRNA from 1 species